rnacentral:tRNA from 1 species
GCUGGGGUGGCGAAAUCGGCAGACGCAGGGGACUUAAAAUCCCCCGGGUUCAUCCCCGUGCGGGUUCAAGUCCCGCCCUCAGCA